AUUGAACGCUGGCGGCAUGCCUUACACAUGCAAGUCGAACGAGAACGGAUUAUAGCUUGCUAUAAUUGUCAGCUAAGUGGCGCACGGGUGAGUAAUGUAUAGGUAAUAUGCCUCUUACUAAGGGAUAACAAAUGGAAACGUUUGCUAAUACCUUAUACUCCUUAUUAACAGAAGUUAAUAAGGGAAAGAUUUAUUGGUAAGAGAUUAGCCUGUAUUGUAUCAGUUAGUUGGUGGGGUAAUGGCCUACCAAGACUAUGACACAUAACUGGUUUGAGAGGAUGAUCAGUCACACUGGAACUGAGACACGGUCCAGACUCCUACGGGAGGCAGCAGUGGGGAAUAUUGCGCAAUGGACGGAAGUCUGAUGCAGCAACGCCGCGUGGAGGAUGACACAUUUCGGUGCGUAAACUCCUUUUAUAUGAGAAGAUAAUGACGGUAUUAUAUGAAUAAGCACCGGCUAACUCCGUGCCAGCCGCCGCGGUAAUAC
rnacentral:rRNA from 1 species